AGAGCGAUUUCUUACACUCUCUCUCUCUGUCCCUGGUGCGACCUACUCAUUAUCCGGCAACACUGACCAACCUUACCAUGUGAAACCUCCCAUGUGGUCUCUCGAGGGUACUGCGGAGUGUGAGGAAAGCGAAGGAGGAAGAAAGUGUGCGGAAGGAGGUAGUGAACAGAGCCUGGGAGCACAAGCUUCGUAGCCUUUCAGACCGGCACGUUCGUCUCUCCACCCAGGCACCCAGCGCCUGAAGGUGCUCACUGCCUGCCAAAGCAGCUGCAAGGAUCAGAGGAAUGUAGAUGAAGCGACUACACCGAACGCCGCUCCUGGGACCUCGUGUUCAAGAAAAGAUUUGUUGGAGACAAGCCACCAUGGCUUCUCUGUUAUUUUCUGCAUGGUGUGAAUUAAGUUUCUACCUGCACUGGAAUCAUGACCCACGGCUGGCCAGGUGCACCUUAAACCCAAAUUCAGCCCCAGUGGCCAGACGAGGGCCGAAGAGUACAUCGUCUCCUCCCUCCCACUCGGGAGCACGAUCGAAGUCCGUUUGACACUGGUAGCCUCAAAGAAGUAACCAAGCAGCCCUUACAAACAGCCAGCACUUGGUUCCCCAUGCUUGUCGGAGCAGAGCUCGUCGGGGGACCCGCGACUGUCCCCACAGCCCGCCAUUGGGCGCAAAGUCCGAAUAGCACCAGCAGCUUUAGGUGAGUCAUUGUAAUGCAUGAAUAAUGCAAAUCGGCAGAUUAUUUUUAAAGAUCACUUCUCUUUGACUCAUUUUAUGUAUCUAGAGACAUGCAAGUAGAACCUCUACCCGUGGUUAACGACUGUUGGCCUCAGAGCCAGUUCAAAUUCAUGGAUUGCCCAAAAGUACACACUUUGAUGGCCACAGAUGAUGGUUCCCAAAACAAUCAGCCACGUCGCCGGAGAAGCCAGCUGGGGUCUUCCUCUCACUCUGUGGCCAACGCCCCCACAGGGAAACAGAAUCAGUUGUGUCAUUCCAGCAGAACUCUCGGCCUAAAAUCCAAGCCAAGCGGUGUUGGGGGUUGUUGAGGUUAUUCCACAAGAAAAUCUCCAUAAUCUAAGUUAGGUGGCAUUUUCAAAUCACACGGCUAGAGAGGAGGGUUUCUACUUCUUACACCUCCCAGCUGCUGUGGCUCCCUCCCCUGGGGUGGAAAUACUGCCAGCCAAUCUAAAAGCUGUCUCCUGCGGCUGCGCUUCUUCCCUCCCACGGCCUCAGAGAGGCAAGGGAGACCUGCGUCCACGGGAUAGCGACUGCCAGCCAGUACCCACCGUGGGCCCGGUGUGUGUCAGCACGUUCCCUGCAGGACACCACUGGCCUUCAUACCAAGCCCAGAAACUAGCCGCGUUGUUAUCUCCAUUUUAUGGGUCAGGAAACGAUGGCUCAGAAAGGCUCAAGAAUGCACUCGGGUCCCGACAGCUCGUGGGGAGUCCUGCCCAGCCUUAAGAUGGAGUCCAGGGGCACAACACUCAGCGUCUGGGUGGAAUCCAGGUGACGCGCCAUCGCCCUGUCAUCCACUCACAGAAUAAUAAUACAGGGUCCUUCCUUCUGCGGUCAGAGACAGAGGUGGCUGUACAGGUUGAUUUAGCAAAUGAAGCCUUUAGAGAGCUGCAGAGCUGGCCCAGUCGCGCCUCUGUGCUCGGUACACAGGAGGAAAGGCCCAGGCUGAUUUCUCAGGGGUAUGGGCAGCCCCGUCUUUCCUCCGGAUCCCAAAGGCGUACUUGUGCCUCAUAGAGGGAAUCGCCCACAGUGUGUCUGGGUCAUCUUCUGUCUUACGCACUGACUCAGACAAGGAGUAGGAUUUACUGAGCAUUCACAAGAGGGCAGACCCGUUCUCACGUCAGUCCCAGACCUGCCCUCCUAAUUCUGUGAGUCCCAAAGUCUCUCUCUUCAGGGUAUCUGCUCUCAGAGAAACGGCUGCCCAGUUUAUUGACUGUCAGACGGCAGUGGCCUUCCCAGAGGUGUUUGCAUCUUCACGGGAGACUCACCGUCUACCUAAACUCAACGUACAAAAGAAUGAAUCUCUAAUGGUGGAAGGUCAAGCAUCCGUUCUCGGCUAGCGGGAGUAAGACCUUGGAGUGAAAAUUCGCCCCUCAGUCUUUAAAACCACCUUACAUUGGCAUUUAAGUCUUGUUACGCCUGUUGGUACUCGUAUCCCGGCCCUACAGGUCUCAGGCAAGGCAUGGAGUUAGAGAACAACAGCAAAAAAGAACAUAGAAAAUUAAAAAACAAAACUGGGCCGAAAUCAGGAGCGCACGAAUCCCAAGUCCCAGCUCUGCCACAAGGUGGAGACCCCAGGGAAGGAGGCCCCCAGACCGAGUCCUGAGACAUGAAGGCAGAGGGUGCCUGGGUCUGCUCUGCCCUACGAGCCCUUGGUCCUCAGCCUUGGGGUUUGGACUUAGGUGCUUUGUUUUCUAUUUUCUGGGAAACCAGAACUCCUGAUUUUUAGUCUUCUAAUGAAAUGAAGAAGGGGGGUGUCUGGACAAGCCACAUUCAUGGGUUCUGUUCAACUCUUCCAUUCCAGUGUUGGAAACUCUGUGGCGGGCUUUCAGGGAAGGGCGCCCUCUCCAGCUCUGAGCAAGUGAGAGGGAAGACGGAAGAGGCACCUGGAGAGCUGCGCUCUGAGGGCUGGAGCACUUGGGCCUCGGGGAUACCCAGCCCCGGCCGGCCGGGGUGCAGCAGGGACACGGUGACCUCGCUGCAAACACCAUCACGUACAUCCGCAUCCUAGAGCGGCUGACGGCUGAGGGUGGCUGCGUAUCAGGGCCCCGUGUGGGUGCUCUUGCUCUUCCAUUUCUACCUCGGUCUCUAUCCAUUUCUCUCUCUCUCAUGGA